CAACAUAUAUUCAGUGUAAAGACUUUGAGAUAAUUUGCAUUCUUUUUUUGGGGGGGGGGGACAAAGGCAUUGGAAUCUGAUAUAUAUUUCCUACUUACAAACAUUUCAAUAUUAACCACUGCUGAAAUCCUUAAUAGUCACAAAUGCCUGUGGCUACCACAGUGGAGAGUUCACUUUUAAAAGUUUCUUAAUGUUAAUUUUCUCUAAUUAUCUUUCUUUAUUUACCCUCCAUUAAAAAAAAAAGAAAAAAUAUCCAAAAUACUGGUCUAAUCCUGAUCCCUCACCACCACUUUUUUUUUCCCCUCUUCUCAAGACAAUCAAGUCAAGUAACAUUGAUUUAUAGCACCAAACACAGCAAAAUCAGCUUAUACCUGAGAUACUCUGGGAAAACGCUAGACUUGGAGUAUACCUGCAUUGUGACAAGUUUGAAGUAAACGCCUCUCCUUCAUGAGUUCAUCAUGACUGCCUUUCUCCACAAUGGCUCCAUCAUCACAACCAGCAAUGACAUCGGCAUUGUGAACUGUGGACAAACGAUGGGCUAUCACAAUGGUGGUCCGGCCUUCUCUGGCCUACAGAGAGAAGAAAUUUGGUUGUUGAACACAUGAACAAUUCUUUGGAAAAAUUCAUUCCUUCAAUUUAUAUGCACUGACCACCAAUGCCUUGGAUUGGACACUGCAAAAAUGUAGCUGUAGCCUAUUUACCACCAUGUGCCAGAAACCAAGCCCACAGUGUCCAGCACAGCGUGAGCACUCAAGUCCAAUCUGAUGAAGGAAUCACACAGACUAAAGAACUGAACAACUGUCAAACUCUGUUGAUGGUCAAGGUUAUUUGAUGACCAGGUAAUUCACAACAUCAUCAGUGCUCUGCCACUCUCCUAGGGAUAAGAGGUUUCUCAUUCCCCACACAAUCCGCAAUGGGCAUUUUUUAUCUUAGAAACUAAAUGUAGACUUUCCUCUUUUUGACAUUGGUAGAAACUUACAAAACCUAAACAACAGGGUUAUCUCUAAGGCUAAGUUUUCAAGAUCACAAAUGAAGACGAAUUUUGAUUUGAGUCUAAAUUUCUCAUUGUUUAACUUUUAAAAUUUGCAGCUAUCUUUCAAUGAAAUUAUAUUCAUCUCUACCUUAAAAAAUGCCAGAGAAAUAAAUGGAAGUUAAACAGAUCCAAAGAAACCUGAUGGUUUUAAGAGCUUAAAGCAUUAAUUUAGAAGUGGCUAGAAUUGGGGUUUGGGAUUAGCACAUGCACCCUGUGGAAGUGCUAACCAAUCGCAAAGCACAGGGAACUCUACCCAAUAUUCUACGAUAACCUGUAUUUGAAAAGAAUCUGAAAAGGAAUGGAUGUGUGUAUACAUAUAACUGAAUCAAUUUGUACAACAGAAUUAUCACAACAUUGUAAAUCAACUAUACUUCAAAAAACUUUUUUAAAAUGGCAAGAUUGUUUUUUAAAUGAUCAAAAUUUAAAGCAAACAAAUAAUAUUGAGGAG
rnacentral:lncRNA from 9 species